AUUGAACGCUGGCGGCAGGCCUAACACAUGCAAGUCGAGCGGAUGAAGGGAGCUUGCUCCUGGAUUCAGCGGCGGACGGGUGAGUAAUGCCUAGGAAUCUGCCUGGUAGUGGGGGAUAACGUCCGGAAACGGGCGCUAAUACCGCAUACGUCCUGAGGGAGAAAGUGGGGGAUCUUCGGACCUCACGCUAUCAGAUGAGCCUAGGUCGGAUUAGCUAGUUGGUGGGGUAAAGGCAUACCAAGGCGACGAUCCGUAACUGGUCUGAGAGGAUGAUCAGUCACACUGGAACUGAGACACGGUCCAGACUCCUACGGGAGGCAGCAGUGGGGAAUAUUGGACAAUGGGCGAAAGCCUGAUCCAGCCAUGCCGCGUGUGUGAAGAAGGUCUUCGGAUUGUAAAGCACUUUAAGUUGGGAGGAAGGGCAGUAAGUUAAUACCUUGCUGUUUUGACGUUACCAACAGAAUAAGCACCGGCUAACUUCGUG
rnacentral:rRNA from 1 species